UCACUUUGUCAGAAAAUACUAAAACUGGAAAGAUAUAGAGAUGAUUAACAUGGCUUCUGUGCAAGAAUGACAUGCAAAUUUGUGAAGCAUUGCACAUUUUU
rnacentral:snRNA from 1 species